UACGAAGGGGGCGAGCGUUGUUCGGAUUUACUGGGCGUAAAGGGCGCGCAGGCGGCGAUCUUUGUCAGGCGUGAAAGCCCCGGGCUUAACCUGGGAACUGCGCUUGGGACGGGAUUGCUGGAGACCGGGAGAGGAGAGUGGAAUUCCCAGUGUAGAGGUGAAAUUCGUAGAUAUUGGGAAGAACACCGGUGGCGAAGGCGGCAUCCUGGACCGAUACUGACGCUGAGGAGCGAAAGCCAGGGGAGCAAACGGG
rnacentral:rRNA from 1 species